rnacentral:tRNA from 1 species
AAUUUAACACUAUAGUCUCCGCCAA